rnacentral:misc_RNA from 2 species
AACGCAUAUUGCGCCCUUUGGCAUUCCGAAGGGCAUACCUGUUCGAGCGUCAUUACACCCCUCAAAGUUAACUCUUUGGCGUUGGGCAAUGCCUGAAGGCAUGCCUCAAAAUCAGCGAUGUUGAUAUUCAACCACAGGCGCACAAACGUUGUCUAGCUGGUGGGAUGUUUUCAGUCAAUUGAUGAAUUUCUAAAUGUUGACCUCGGAUCAGGUAGGAAUACCCGCUGAACUUAA